ACGGUCCUAAGGUAGCGAAAUUCCUUGUCAGGUAAGUUCUGACCCGCACGAAAGGUGUAAUGAUCUGGGCACUGUCUCAACCAUAGACUCGGUGAAAUCUUAAUACCUGUGAAAAUGCAGGUUACCCGCAACAGGACGGAAAGACCCCAUGGAGCUUUACUGUAGCUUGAUAUUGAAGUUCGGUAUAUUAUGUAGAGAAUAGGUGGGAGACUAUGAAGUUAGGACGCUAGUUCUAAUGGAGUCACCUUUGGAAUACCACCCUUAAUGUAUUGAAUUUCUAACCUCGAUCCAUUAUCUGGAUUAGGGACAGUGUCUGGUGGGCAGUUUGACUGGGGCGGUCGCCUCCCAAAAAGUAACGGAGGCGCCCAAAGGUUCCCUCAGAAUGGUUGGACAUCAUUCAAAGAGCGUAAAGGUAUAAGGGAGCUUGACUGCGAGACCAACAAGUCGAGCAGAUACGAAAGUAGGGCUUAGUGAUCAGACGAUUCAGAAUGGAAUGGUCGUCGCUUAACGGAUAAAAGUUACCCUGGGGAUAACAGGCUGAUACCACCCAAUAGUUCACAUAGACGGUGGUGUUUGGCACCUCGAUGUCGGCUCGUCGUAUCCUGGAGGUGAAGUCGCUUCCAAGGGUUGGGCUGUUCGCCCAUUAAAACGGCACGCGAGCUGGGUUCAGAACGUCGUGAGACAGUUCGGUCCCUAUCCGUUGUGGGCGUAGGAAAAUUGAAGAGAGCUAUCCUUAGUACGAGAGGACCGGGAUGGACAUACCUCUGGUGUAUCUGUUGUAGCGCCAGCUGCAGUGCAGAGUAGCUAUGUAUGGAAAGGAUAACCGCUGAAAGCAUCUAAGCGGGAAGCCUCCUUUGAGAUGAGUUUUCCCAUAUUUUAUAUAGUAAGAUCCCUUGAAGACUACAAGGUUGAUAGGCUGGAGAUGGAAGAAUGGCGACAUUUUGAGUUGACCAGUACUAAUAGAUCGAGGAUUUAAUCC
rnacentral:rRNA from 1 species